AUCCAGACUCCUACGGGAGGCAGCAGUGGGGAAUAUUGCACAAUGGGGGAAACCCUGAUGCAGCGACGCCGCGUGAGUGAAGAAGUAUUUCGGUAUGUAAAGCUCUAUCAGCAGGGAAGAAAAUGACGGUACCUGACUAAGAAGCCCCGGCUAACUACGUGCCAGCAGCCGCGGUAAUACGUAGGGGGCAAGCGUUAUCCGGAUUUACUGGGUGUAAAGGGAGCGUAGACGGCGGAACAAGUCAGAAGUGAAAACCCGGGGCUCAACCCUGGGAGUGCUUUUGAAACUGUUUGGCUGGAGUGCAGGAGAGGUAAGCGGAAUUCCUAGUGUAGCGGUGAAAUGCGUAGAUAUUAGGAGGAACACCAGUGGCGAAGGCGGCUUACUGGACUGUAACUGACGUUGAGUCUCGAAAGCGUGGGGAGCAAACAGGAUUAGAUACCCCAGUA
rnacentral:rRNA from 1 species